rnacentral:rRNA from 1 species
GAUGAACGCUGGCGGCGUGCUUAACACAUGCAAGUCGAACGAGAAGUGAAGACGGAAACCUUCGGGCGGAAGGCUUUAUUUCGAGUGGCGGACGGGUGAGUAACGCGUGGGUAACCUGCCUCAUACAGGGGGAUAACAGUUGGAAACGACUGUUAAUACCGCAUAAGACCACAGCACCGCAUGGUGCGGGGGUAAAAACUCCGGUGGUAUGAGAUGGACCCGCGUUCGAUUAGCCAGUUGGCGGGGUAACGGCCCACCAAAGCGACGAUCGAUAGCCGAGCUGUGAGGAUGGCCGGCCACAUUGACGCUGAGAAACAGCCCGAACUCCUACGGGAUGCGGCAGUGGGGGAUGUUGCACAAUGGGGGAAACCCUGAUGCAGCGAGGCCGCGUGAGUGAAGAAGUAUUUCGGUAUGUAAAGCUCUAUCAGCAGGGAAGAAAUUGACGGUACCUGAGUAAGAAGCCCCGGCUAACUACGUG